rnacentral:lncRNA from 1 species
GAAAACCACUUUCGAAGGCUACGACAUUAAGGAAGGGGGAAGCUUCUCAGAUUUUGAAAUAAACAGUCCCAAGGAAGACGGAACAAGAGAGGCGGCGAGGUGGAUUAACGCUUGCAGAUUCAAGUUCCCAAAACCAUAUUGCAGAAGAGAAUUUCAAUCAUGUAAGUUGCGGUUGUUCUGUUAUUGUUUCUUAAUCUGAAGUAAUUCUUUUUUGGAGUCGGUAUGUGGAAACGUUGUGACCCGAAAGUUUGAAGCUUUGUGUUUAGACUCCACUCCAUUGUACAUUCUAUUCCUUUUUCAAAGUAUUUGUUACAUGAAUACAAAUAGAAUAUUUUUGAAAAAUUUGAAUCUGAAGUAUUUUUUUGUUUCCUUCAUUUUAUGAUAUUUUCAAGUCAUAUGUGGUACCGGAGUAACAUGGAAUAAAUGUGAACAAUCUGCUUGUUCGUAUUGUUGUUGCUUUGCGUAUGAUCCAGUGAGCUGAAUAGAAUACCAACCAACAAAAUUAAAAAGAAUAGUUUGUUGGUUUCCAUUCUCAUUUUUGUUCGUAUUGUUGUUGUUUGUCUAUACAUACCGUUACACUUUUAUGGUUUCCAUUCUACAUUUUUGUUAUACUAUACAUCUUAUUUCACAUUUACUUUGUUAUAUGGGUCCUAACAAUUGCUUUGUGUUGCUCAGGUUACAAAUGGAUGAUUUAGACUGUCAAGUAGAUUGUUCGAAACUGGAUUUGAACCAAUUCGUGAAUAUAUUCUCAUUUAUAUGUAAUGGUGCAAUGUGUAUAUAAAUGGAAUAGAC